ensembl:lncRNA
AGUAUAUUUAUUGAACUUAUUCUGAGUUUAACAUUAAAAUAUUAUUUGUGCAGCAAGACAACAAAGACAACAUGUGGAAUUUUAUUAUUUCACAAACACGAUGGUCACACAUGGAGAUAGAACAACAGGAACUGGGAAGAAUCUGGUAACAGUAACAGCAGCACCAGCAACCUGGAAAACCAUCAACCUAAUUUUUUUAUUCCUCGUAAAGAUUACCAAUCAUUAACUGGCUAACUCAUGGAAAAUUAUAAUGAAAUCAACAAGUACAAAGGCAUAUGUAAUGUUGUUCUACAAUAAGAAGGCUCAGAUGCUUAGUGUUACAAAUUAACACAUAGUUCCAUAUAUGAUUUCGGGAAUUAGACAUCACUGUGACUGGCGUGUUUAGGAACUGAGCAAAUCAAGCCAGUUUCAAGCUUCAGAAGAAGUACCGUUGUUCAUGAACAGUUCAUGUUGCUAAUAGUUCUUAAUUACUAUAAAUCAUUAUCACUACAUAUACAAAACAAUUAGUUCUUAAGAAAUCUAUCCAAGAUGAACUGCAAGCAUACACCAUUGUGGAGCUAAUGCUAUGUAGCCAGGGAUGAUGUCUGCACUCCUUGGGGGUCCUUAGUCACCAAGGCCAACAUGACUGGGCUUAAAAGCUCCUUGCGGGCAGUUUGCCUUCUUUCCUCUUCAUUCAGUUGAUGUUUUAUACUCUGUGUCCCUGAUCCAAAAGAAAAUAAAGUGAUCUCAUCUGCUCUUGAUGACUUAUUUAGGGGAUCAGGAAAUGUUCUGUGCUUUGUUUAUUCUGCAGGUGUCACCAGACACAUUUCUUGCCUGCUUUGCGGGAUUGUCUUGGUUUUAUGAUGCAUCUCUCCCCUUCCAUUUUAUUUGGCUGGUUAUUUGGUGGCAGGUUACCAGUUCUCAUUUUUCAGGUAAUUUCUUGAUUUUGCCUUUUUAGUGAGGCUUAAAGAAAGCAGCUGGAAAGCAUAAACUAGGAAAAACGUUAAUCUGUACAGGAUCACUUAAACUGCUGUGAAAAAUCAUGGACUGAGUCUUCCUGAAAUGCAUUUCUUGCCACAUGAAGGAGAAGAUGAUUGAGAACACUGCAUAGGUAUACAGGUCGUACAAGCCUGUGGUCACUGGUUUAAGCAAAAUGGUUGAAGCUGCCUCGUGUGGCACAGAUCUGUAAUCUGCUUUUGAGCUACUUCAACUAUUAGCCAGCACUUAACUGCCAUCUGAAAUAAACCCAGUGUUUGAAUGAAAACAGCAAAGGUCUGAGGGUUAACUGUAGGUGGGUAACAUGGGGUGGGUACUUGGUAAAGCGUCUGCCAUCUCACGUUAAUCCACACCUGCAAAACUAUCAGAGCCUUCAACGGAUGAGUUUUGGGUACCUCUGUCCUGUACAAUUCAGAGUCCUCAGGUGCCCAGGGUUCUUAUGCAGCACUGUGAAUCAAAUUCACAGGGUCCACAAGCCAACUCAAGCUGAGGCUGAAGGACUGAAGCCACAUUCCUGGGCGGUGCUGCUUUUGGCACUUCAUGCAGUUACGUCUUUUCAGGGGAGUGAAACGGGAGGCCAGGCCUACCCCUUGACACGUUCAUUCUGCGUGGGAGACGGGAGCCGAGCUUCCUUUUUCCUACUCGGCCUGAUUUACCCCGGAACUUAAAAUGAAUAUACGGAUGGAGGUUACCGUUGUUUCCUCUUUGGAAUCUGCUCUACUUUGUAAAAAUAACUAUUUACUGGGGGAGAACUUAAAGCCAGCAUUCCCGCAGUCAGCGUGAGCAGAGUGAUGAAUUUUGAUCUCUGGAGCGACGAAUCUUUAACGACCUGUGAAGCAGAACUCUCCAGAUUCGAUCCUGCGCAUUCAAUUCCUGUAAGGCACAGAGCACUGCGGUUGCCUCUUACUUGUGUGCGGGCUAUUCCGGCUCCAGAUCCCGCCUCUCGGGACCCAACGGGCACCCGGCCCUCCCGCCGGCGGGGGGCGCGCCACGACCGCCCCGCACGCCCCUCUGCAGCCCCUCCCGUGGAGCGGCGGG